AGAGGAAGUAAAAGUCGUAACAAGGUCUCCGUAGGUGAACCUGCGGAGGGAUCAUUACCGAGUUCAUGCCCUUACGGGUAGACCUCCCACCCUAUGUUAUAUUACCUUUGUUGCUUUGGCGGGCCGCCCGGCUUCGGCCAGGCUACCGGCUCCAGCUGGUAAGCGCUCGCCAGAGGACCCUCAACUCUGAAUAUCAGUGUCGUCUGAGUACUAUAAAAUAGUUAAAACUUUCAACAACGGAUCUCUUGGUUCUGGCAUCGAUGAAGAACGCAGCGAAAUGCGAUAAGUAAUGUGAAUUGCAGAAUUCAGUGAAUCAUCGAAUCUUUGAACGCACAUUGCGCCCCUUGGUAUUCCGAGGGGCAUGCCUGUUCGAGCGUCAUUACAACCCUCAAGCACUGCUUGGUAUUGGGCUCCGCUGGCUCCAGCGGGCCUUAAAAUCAGUGGCGGCGCCGUUUGGGCUCUGAGCGUAGUAAAUAUCCUCGCUAUAGAGACCAGGCGGUUCUUGUCAUCAACCCCCAACUUUCUAAGUUUGACCUCGGAUCAGGUAGGGAUACCCGCUGAACUUAAGCAUAUCAAUA
rnacentral:rRNA from 1 species